UACGGAGGGAGCUAGCGUUGUUCGGAAUUACUGGGCGUAAAGCGCGCGUAGGCGGCUUUGUAAGUUAGAGGUGAAAGCCCGGGGCUCAACCCCGGAACUGCCUUUAAAAACUGCAUCGCUUGAAUCCGGGAGAGGUGAGUGAAUUCCGAGUGUAGAGGUGAAAUUCGUAGAUAUUCGGAAGAACACCAGGUGGCGAAGGCGGCUCACUGGACCGGCAUUGACGCUGAGGUGCGAAAGCGUGGGGAGCAAACAGG
rnacentral:rRNA from 1 species